UCCGGCUUAACGCCGGCAGUCUCCCUAGAGUGCCCAACUGAAUGGUGGCAACUAAGGACGAGGGUUGCGCUCGUUGCGGGACUUAACCCAACACCUCACGACACGAGCUGACGACAGCCAUGCAGCACCUGUGUGGACGCCAGCCGAACUGAAGGACCCCAUCUCUGAAGCCCAUACGUCCCAUGUCAAGGGUUGGUAAGGUUCUUCGCGUUGCGUCGAAUUAAACCACAUACUCCACCGCUUGUGCGGGCCCCCGUCAAUUCCUUUGAGCUUUAGCCUUGCGGCCGUACUUCCCAGGCGGAUUGCUUAAUGCGUUAACUUCGGCACUGAAGGGGUGAAUACCUCCAACACCUAGCAAUCAUCGUUUACGGCGUGGACUAC
rnacentral:misc_RNA from 1 species